GAUCGCGUAGCUCAGUUGGUUAGAGCGCUGCUCUGAUAAGGCAGAGGUCCCCAGUUCAAUUCUGGGCGCGAUCA
rnacentral:tRNA from 1 species